GUGGAAACGGACUCUGGGUCAUCGCAUUCAGCUGUGUCUCGUCUCGUCGGAAAGCCGCGUAAGACUGCCUCUCAUUUUGCCAGGGAAAAGUGAGCAAGCGCUGGAGAGUCCCCGCCGCCCCAAGACGUGCAGACAGUGAGUACUGAGACCCGCGGCGCCCUUCUACUCCCAUCAGGCCGAGUUACUCCACCCCUGAAGACCCCAAGGUGAGCUUUUUGUCUCCUCUCCUAUGAAAUCGAGGCAGUCUUAGGGCGGGGGACUGACAGCCUCUGCUUAUAUUUCACUACCUUAUGUUCCUGGAAGCAGCGUAGACCCUCACUUCAGCUGGCGAAAUACUGCUGCAGGUUCACAUGUUCUCGUUAGCCUGUCAAACACCCCGACAGGAGAUCAAGACGGAGAGAAACCUGGCACAAAAAAAAUGGUGAAAAAUAUGAAAAAAAAAAAAGCAGAGAAAGAAGCUCCCGCCACCAGGUAUUUCGCUCGCAAAUCACUGAACAAUCCCAGCCCGCGAAUCAAGAAAAAUGUACGGUCACAAAUCACGGGAAAGCUUAUGCCGUUGCCUCUUCCGUUCCCUCCUGCGCCGGGUCGGAAUCCAGCGGGACGUGGUACUAUUUUUCAGUUAAGGUGAGGCUCGUGUUUCGUGGGUUAGCGUGCGGGUAUGAGUCUCGGGGCAGCGGGAGGCGGGUGGGGAAUGGCUGGCGUGACCCCCGAGUGCAGAGGUCUUGAAGGAUGAAGGUGGUGACGGUGUGGUGUGGAGGGAAGGAAGAGAAGGAAGGGAGGAGUUGGGAGAAGUCCGCAGGGAUGGGUGGAAUAUAAGGAAGGAGGAGUGG